AUCCUGGCUCAGGAUGAACGCUAGCUACAGGCUUAACACAUGCAAGUCGAGGGGCAGCAUCAUCAAAGCUUGCUUUGAUGGAUGGCGACCGGCGCACGGGUGAGUAACACGUAUCCAACCAGCCGACAACACUGGGAUAGCCUUUCGAAAGAAAGAUUAAUACCGGAUGGCAUAGUUUUCCCGCAUGGGAUAAUUAUUAAAGAACUUCGGUUGUCGACGGGGAUGCGUUCCAUUAGG
rnacentral:rRNA from 1 species